rnacentral:misc_RNA from 1 species
GGGGGAAGUAAUACUAAUUAAAUAUGAUCAUCUCUUCUAAGCUUGUUUAACAAAGCUGUGAUUAAGGCAUCUCUUUUCUCAGCCCUAACUUCUUCUCUCAUUCUCCUUUGUUCUUCUCUUUCUCGCCAUCUUCUUUCCAACAUUAUCCUCUCAUGUUCUAAAGCUUCCAUGUUUCUUCUCCAUUCCAUUUCCCUCAUUUGUCUCUCUUUUUCCCUUGCCUCAAAUGCCUCCCUCCAUUGCACCUCCAUUUGCAUUUGUUGAUUCAUAAAAUCUUCCAACAUUUCUUUCAAAUCAUUGAUACUACUCUUUCCACUGCCCUCGCCGCCUCCCGUCGUCGUACCGCCCAUUCCUUUAACUUUUUUCCUCUUCCUACCGCUAACUUUUGCCUCGCCUCCAUCGCCAUCGCUAUCGUCGUUUUCUUCGUCAUCGUCAGACGAUAAUGGUAACGUCUUCUUCUUCGACCCGCUACCGCCGCUCUCCGCCUCUGCCCAUAAUAUUCUUUGCAUUCUUGCCCCAAAUAUUGCUUGUAACUCUGUGUAGAAUGGAAAUUGCUGCCUUGAAAUUUCUGGCUCCAUUGUUUCACAACCCUUGUAACGAGUAACGAGGUUUUUCCAUUUACAUUUACACUGUUCAGCGCUGCGAUUAAAACCCUUUUCCUUCAUUUUGGAGGCAGUAAUUUCCCACAAGAGCUUGUUUCGUUUGGUUUCCAUGAAGGUUUGAUCCAGCUCGGCUCUGAUCGUCAAAAACUCCUUUGUUUCUUGAAUACUCCAUUGAGGGAAUCUGUCGGCGGCUGUUGCUGUGGUUUGAUCGGCGGAGACGGCGAGGCUCUGGUGGAGAUGCGGCGGUGGGGGAGGAAGUUGAAUUUGUUGCUGCUGGUGGAGCUGAAUAAGGGGAUGGGGAUGAGGAUGAGGAUGAGGAUUAUGGCCU